UACAGAGGGGGCAAGCGUUGUUCGGAAUUACUGGGCGUAAAGGGCGCGUAGGCGGUUCUUUAAGUCAGGCGUGAAAGCCCUGGGCUCAACCUGGGAGUGGCGCUUGAUACUGGAGGACUAGAGAGUGGGAGAGGUUGGUGGAAUUCCCAGUGUAGAGGUGAAAUUCGUAGAUAUUGGGAAGAACACCGGUGGCGAAGGCGGUUCUCUGGGCCUUACCUGACGCUGAGGAGCGAAAGCGUGGGGAGCGAACAGG
rnacentral:rRNA from 1 species